GAUGAACGCUGGCGGCGUGCCUAAUACAUGCAAGUCGAGCGAACGGACGAGAAGCUUGCUUUUCUGAUGUUAGCGGCGGACGGGUGAGUAACACGUGGAUAACCUACCUAUAAGACUGGGAUAACUUCGGGAAACCGGAGCUAAUACCGGAUAAUAUUUUGAACCGCAUGGUUCAAAAGUGGAAGACGGUCUUGCUGUCACUUAUAGAUGGAUCCGCGCUGCAUUAGCUAGUUGGUAAGGUAACGGCUUACCAAGGCAACGAUGCAUAGCCGACCUGAGAGGGUGAUCGGCCACACUGGAACUGAGACACGGUCCAGACUCCUACGGGAGGCAGCAGUAGGGAAUCUUCCGCAAUGGGCGAAAGCCUGACGGAGCAACGCCGCGUGAGUGAUGAAGGUCUUCGGAUCGUAAAACUCUGUUAUUGGGGAAGAACAUAUGUGUAAGUAACUGUGCACAUCUUGACGGUACCUAAUCAGAAAGCCACGGCUAACUACGUG
rnacentral:rRNA from 1 species